rnacentral:rRNA from 1 species
CGGCGACCGGCGCACGGGUGAGUAACACGUAUGCGACCUGCCCGUAGCAGGGGGAUAAGCGGAAGAAAUUCCGUCUAAUACCGCGUAAUAUCUUUCGGGGGCAUCCCUGAGGGAUUAAAGGAAGCGAUUCCGGCUACGGAUGGGCAUGCGGCGCAUUAGCUAGUCGGCGGGGUAACGGCCCACCGAGGCGACGAUGCGUAGGGGUUCUGAGAGGAAGGUCCCCCACACUGGUACUGAGACACGGACCAGACUCCUACGGGAGGCAGCAG